rnacentral:rRNA from 1 species
GACGAACCGUGCGAACGUUAUUCGGAAUCACUGGGCUUAAAGCGCGUGUAGGCGGCCCGGCACGUCCGUCGCUGAAAUCCCCCGGCUCAACCGGGGAAGUGGCGGGGAUACGGCCGGGCUGGAGGGGGGUAGGGGGAGCCGGAACUUCCGGUGGAGCGGUGAAAUGCGUUGAGAUCGGAAGGAACGCCCGUGGCGAAAGCGGCGACCUGGACGGACACUGACGCUGAGACGCGAAAGCGUGGGGAGCAAACAGG